rnacentral:rRNA from 1 species
ACUCCUACGGGAGGCAGCAGUGGGGAAUAUUGCACAAUGGGGAAACCCUGAUGCAGCCAUGCCGCGUGUGUGAAGAAGGCCUUCGGUUGUAAGCACUUCAGUAGGGAGGAAGGUAGUGUAGUUAACACCUGCAUUAUUUGACGUUACCUACAGAAGAAGCACCGGCUAACUCCGUGCCAGCAGCCGCGGUAAUACGGAGGGGUGCGAGCGUUAAUCGGAAUUACUGGGCGUAAAGCGCAUGCAGGCGGCCUGUUAAGUCAGAUGUGAAAGCCCGGGGGCUUAACCUCGGAAUUGCAUUUGAAACUGGCAGGCUAGAGUCUGUAGAGGGGGUAGAAUUUCAGGUGUAGCGGUGAAAUGCGUAGAGAUCUG